rnacentral:rRNA from 1 species
UCCUUGUCGGGUAAGUUCCGACCUGCACGAAUGGCGUAACGAUGGCGGCAAUUGAAAUCGCUGUGAAGAUGCAGUGUAUCCGCGGCUAGACGGAAAGACCCCGUGAACCUUUACUAUAGCUUUGCACUGGACUUUGAAUUUGCUUGUGUAGGAUAGGUGGGAGGCUUUGAAGCGUGGACGCCAGUCUGCGUGGAGCCUCCCUUGAGAUACCACCCUUGUUCUGCUUGAUGUCUAACCGCGGUCCGUUAUCCGGAUCCGGGACCCUGUGUGGUGGGUAGUUUGACUGGGGCGGUCUCCUCCCAAAGCGUAACGGAGGAGCACAAAGGUGGGCUAAG